GACGAACGCUGGCGGCGUGCCUAAUACAUGCAAGUCGAGCGAAUCGAUGGGAGCUUGCUCCCUGAGAUUAGCGGCGGACGGGUGAGUAACACGUGGGUAACCUGCCUGUAAGACUGGGAUAACUUCGGGAAACCGGAGCUAAUACCGGAUACUUUCUUUUCUCGCAUGAGGGAAGAUGGAAAGAUGGUUCUGCUAUCACUUACAGAUGGACCCGAGGCGCAUUAGCUAGUUGGUGAGGUAACGGCUCACCAAGGCAACGAUGCGUAGCCGACCUGAGAGGGUGAUCGGCCACACUGGGACUGAGACACGGCCCAGACUCCUACGGGAGGCAGCAGUAGGGAAUCUUCCGCAAUGGACGAAAGUCUGACGGAGCAACGCCGCGUGAGCGAAGAAGGCCUUCGGGUCGUAAAACUCUGUUGUUAGGGAAGAACAAGUACGAGAGUAGCUGCUCGUACCUUGACGGUACCUAACCAGAAAGCCACGGCUAACUACGUGCCAGCCGCCGCCGUAAGAC
rnacentral:rRNA from 1 species